AAUGCGAGGGCGAUCUAGCUGCGACAUCUGUCACCCCAUUGAUCGCUUUGGUUAAUUCGGUUGAUCUGGCUGGCUAGACGGGUGUCCCCUUCCUUCCUCACCACUC
rnacentral:snRNA from 1 species